GGCCGGUGAUGAUCUCUUAUCUACCUUUCUGACACCUCGUCUGAGGGCGGCGGGCGGUCGCGGCCCCUGCUGACGAUCCACGGCUGAGGCCC